GUGGCUUCUUUGCUUAUUGUGCUCCGUCCUGUGAUGGUCUCUGCAGACGGCCACAGAGACUUAAAGAACUUGCUCUCCUUCCCUUGUCACAACAGACAGGUCUAGGUUGAAGGACUAAGUAAGAGAGGGAAAUGAGGGUCAUGGCAGCCCACUCUCUUACCGCCUUUAACAAUUUGAUCUCCAUCCAACUGAGGCAUUUCCUCUAUACUUUUCUGAGAAGCUGAAAGGCACUUUGCUUUUGUUUUAUCUGAAAACCCAUCCUGUGGCCGGAAGUGGAAGCAUGUGCCAUCUAGAGAUUAUACCACAAAAAUGGACAGCAAGUCUUCCCGAUCCUGCAUGGUCCUGCUUUUGUAGCCUUGAGAAAGUAAUGCAACCAACCAAAACACAUUUGUGGCUACUUGCUCAUAAUUAGCAUGAAAAAAAGCCAGCAAACUGAGGCUGUCUUAAUAAAUAAAAGAAAUAGCACAACACUGAGAAUUACUGCUUCUGUUCACAUGGAGUCUAGAUUCAAAGAAGUAUGUGUUGAUUUUAUCUCACCUUGGGAAGUAGAAGAGAAAUACUGGAAGUGACAAGAUCUAGGAUGCCGCUGCACCUAGUGCCUUGGCCUUGUUUCCAGAAACCAGC
rnacentral:lncRNA from 10 species